GGAUAAGCGCUGAAAGCAUCUAAGCACGAAGCCCACCGCAAGACUAGGUCUCCCCUAUGGGUCGUUCAAGACGAGGACGUUGAUAGGCGGCAGGUGUACGCAUGGUAACAUGUUCAGCCGAGCCGUACUAAUUACCCAUAUGGCUUAUUCCU
rnacentral:rRNA from 1 species